UCCAAAAUGACAGGUAAAAUGACACGUUGAGCUGCCAUAAUUAGAAGAUUGCCAAUGCUAACUAGAACAGGAAUCAGAAUGAGAAAAUUUGCUUUUAAUUGUUUUUGCUGACUAUUUUGUGAUUUAAAUGUCUCCUACUUCAACAUAAUGGGUGAUAUCAGCACAUUUCUGCUGUCGUAAGUUGCGGUCGACGGUUUCCAUUUACUCCAACAUUCAGAGAAAAAUAAAUCUUAAUUUACUUAUUAGGUUUUGUCGCCACAAACGUUACCCUGGAAUAUUACAUUUGUAGACGGUUCCUACGACUGACAUCGAACAUCCGGCAACUUUUCUUUGCUACUUCCGCUUUGUAUUUUUUUUUUUUUUUACUUGCGCUCCAUGUUAUAACAAUGCCAAGACAGAAAAAGAUCGACGUUUUUUUCGGGUUACGAUGAUAAUUAUCCACUAGGGCCCAGAGGCAGAAGAAAUGUCAAAAAAACGGCAAGCGGAGUGGCUGAGUAACAUCUCCCUUUCAGAUCUUCAGGGAGGCCCAAUCCAUCGUUUGGGCCCGAUCACUUUGUUCGUGGUCGCCCUGCUCCACUUUUCCCUGCUGAUCAUCCCGACUGGGCUCCAACGUUAAAAGUUGAGACAUAACUGGGUGGCCGUUUCAGUCCGGUCAGCUCCAAGACUAACGCACACGGGAGAAGCGAGAAAAGAAAAGGUCACUCAAAGCAGCAGCGAGUUUGUUGCAGUUACACGGUUAGAUUGCUCCAGCGACCUGCACCCCUAAGUCCUGCUUCCGAAAAAAUGGAUUUGAUAUAGAAACUCAUGAAACUUAUCCAAAUAAUUUUUCAGUAAUAUAUCCUCCUGACUACCAGUACCGUAUUUUUCAGAUUAUAAAUCGCAGUUUUUUUUCAUAGUUUGGCCGGGGGUGCGAUUUAUACUCUGGUGCGAUUUAUGUGUGAAAUUAUUAACACAUUAUUAUAUAAUUUCACGCUAUUUUCACACUGAACCGCAAGAGGGCGCUCUAGGCCUGUGUUGAUAAUUUCAACAUUGCCGGUAAUUCAUAAAAACAACUGAGAAGGGCUGAACAAAAAUGGCACCGAAAAGAAAAUCAUAUUCUGCACAUUACAAGCUGCAAAUAGUGAAAUAUGCAGCCGAAAACGGUAAUCGAGCAGCAGAAAGAAAGUUUGGAGUUAGCGAGAAACUUGUAAGGGACUGGCGAAAAGCGGAGGUUACUCUUACUGAAAUGAAGAAAACAAAAAAAGCUAAUCGCGGGCUGAAAGCUAGGUGGCCGCAGUUAGAGGAACGAGUUCGCGCAUGGGUGCUUGAACAAUGUGCUGCUGGGAGAGGUUUGUCAACAGUGCAGUUGCAUCUCCACGCGCAGGUAGUUGCCAAGGAGAUGAAUAUAAAUGACUUUGCGGGAGGACCUUCUUGGUGUUACCGCUUCAUGCAACGCAAUCACCUCUCUAUCAGAGCAAGGACAACAAUGUCCCAAAAACUGCCAGCAGACUUCCAAGCCAAGGUCGACAGUUUCCAUGAGUUCAUUGAAAAGCAUGUAAGUGAGCACAACGUGACACCGGAUCAUAUUAUUAACAUGGACGAGGUCCCCCUCACCUUUGACAUUCCCAUGGGCCGAAGUGUUGCAGAGAAAGGGCAAAAAAGUGUGAAUAUAGUUACAACUGGUCAUGAGAAAUCACACUUCACAGUGGUGCUGGCAUGUUGUGGAGAUGGAUCAAAAUUUCCACCAAUGGUCAUUUUCAAAUGAAAAACCAUGCCAAAAAUCCAAUCCUCCUCAGUUGCAGUCGCCGUGAAUGAGAAAGGGUGGAUGGAUCAAGAAAUGCUGAACUUAUGGCUUACAAAGUGCUACACUAAGCGACCGGAUGGCUUCUUUAGAGCACGCAGGGCUCUGCUUGUGAUGGAUAGCAUGAGAGCGCACAUCACACCACAGUUCAAAAAUAAAUUAAAAGUUUUCAACUCCAUACCUGCCAUCAUCCCUGGAGGCUUAACCAAAAUACUCCAGCCACUUGAUAUCUCCGUGAAUAGGAGCUUUAAGGCAGUCUUGCGUAACCUGUGGCAGCAGUGGAUGAUGGAUGGAGAGCACAGCUUCACGGCAACCGGGAGAAUGCGCCAUGCAACUUUCCUGGAAGUCAUUGAAUGGAUCGACAAAGCAUGGGCUUCAGUGACAACUGAAACCAUCCUGUCGGGAUUCAGAAAGGCGGGAAUAAUUGGAACUGCAACUGACAAUGAUGUCUGACGUAAGCGACGUGGAAGAGGAAGCGGCGCAUCGUCUACCUCCCGAGUUGGGGGAGUUGUUUAAAAGUGAACAGAGUCUGUUCCCCAAGGCACCCACCUGUUCUUUGACAGGUACUUUACAACAAUCAGCCUCCUUGACACCCUGAUGACAAAAGGACUGACAGCGACUGGAACCCUCAUGAAUAACAGGGUUCCAAAGGACUGCAAGAUAAUAGUCGAUAAGCUUUUACUUUGUGUUUCAAAGAAAGGGAAUUGCUUUUUGAAGUAUCAUACCAAAUAAGCAUAAUAGAAGCAAACGUGAAACAAAAGAAAAGAGAUGAUGGAAAGUUAUGUUUAUGUUGAACACUUUGUCAAGUUGACUUUUUGAUAUUUUUUUGGACUAACUGUUUCACAAUGAAGUUCCGUUUCCCCUGUAUUGGGUUUCGAUGUCCACUGUAGAAGACACAUCAAAGCU